UCUGAAGCACCAGUUCUUGUACAAUCACCAAAACUAAGCAAUUUUGAGCCUGGUCAGUACCUAGAUGAGUGACUGCUUGGGAAUACCAGGUGAUGCAAG